rnacentral:siRNA from 1 species
GUGUGAACUUUUUGCUGCCUCGUU